GGCGACCCAAGGGUGUCUGUUAGCCCCGCCUCCGCCCCUCCCCCAUGUCCCACCUCCAGACUGCUGCCAAGCUGCUCAAGUGGUUCUAGCUGUUGGUGGGGUCCUGCAGAUGUGAUAGGCUCCUCCUCUCCAGCCCCUCCUCCCCACCCACCUCUCAGGCCCUCCUGGGAUAGCUGUCCUCCUCUGGGGCCCUGUACUUGCUCCCAGCCAUGGUGGCUAGGCUCACUGCUCUCCUCCUUUACCUCGUUUUCUCCUUGGCCAUCCUGGUCCAGACAGGUCCCAAGGAUCAAACUCAGGUUAUCAGGCUUGAUGGCAAGUGCCUCUACCUACUGAACCAUUUUACCAGCCUCACAAUGGAUAUCAUUCAUCUGUGAAAGAAAAAGUUAUAUUCCUUGCUGGAAAAUGGAUAGAACUGGAUAUGAUCAUGUUAAGUAAAACACGUCACCCCGAAAAACAAAUACCCAAGUUUUUCCCCUCAUGUGCUAAGUCUAUAUGUGGAUCCAUGUAUAUAUUUAUAUGCAUAAGACAUGAAGAUAAAGCAGGACUGUUG
ensembl:lncRNA